AAAUGAAAAACUAACUUGACAGGGCCUUUAUGUAAUGUGUUCAUUACAGCUGCAGACUGAUCGUUAAUGAUGCUCCCAAGCAACAAAUUAAAAUUAUUAUUAACUGUUAUACGAGAUUAUAGUGAUCAAUCAAUUAUUAAUUAAAUAACUUCUUAUCAAGAGCCCCUUAUACAGCCUGAGAUACAUGCAGUCCAGAAAAUCUUCACACACGCUAGGAAUCCCAACAUGUAGCAUAGCAAACUGAUGACAAACUCUGCUAAAAGACUCUACCAAGCAUUGGCAUCCAAACUAAGUACAAUUCAAACCUCAAUCAGGUACAUGGGAAUGUAAUAAAAAGAGAAAAAAUGAGAACAGCACCGUCUCAUUUAGAGCUUCUUCUAAUUUCUUCUCAUCAAGCAAACCACACAAACAAGGUGUCGUAUGAAAGCAGAGACUCUGUGAGCUAGCAGCUAAAGAUAAGCAAACCUUAAAUUAUAAAUCAUUUCUUACUUUUGCUGUUUUGUGGUCAGAAGUUUUAUUCCACCUAAAAAAACACAUAGCUAAUGUGUUCUCAUGUGACUCUGCCUUUGCUUGAAAUGAAACAUGAAG